GGCUGCCGGGGACAGCUGAACCUUUUUGUUCUAAUGUAGUAUGUGCCUGAUUUUUCAUUGAAGAAAACAAAAUGGAAGCUAUUAUCUGAAGACAGCUUUCAUCGUAGCAGCGAGGCAGGGAGCAGCUCAAGUAUAAUAAGACAAAAUGUGAGACAAAUGUUGCCUCCUCUGAGCCAGCCUCUGACCUCGACAGUGAGCGCCUUCCGCUAAGCUGGCUGUUUACAGCCCCCGCUCCGGCAUCCAUCUUGAGGUUUGUGGGAUGUUGUUUUUGUUCCCAUCCCUCCCUCUGAUCGGGCACAAGCAACAUAUAUUCCUCUGCCUUCAACCCCGACCCUGAGUGACCUGCCCUGAUAUUACCAAGACUGCAUUACUGUCUCCAGUACUGCAAGAUGCAUCUGCGAGCACACACUCAGCCACACAGGUGCAAAAUCCACGGAUCUUUGGAUCCUCCAUUUUCUCAUUUUCUUGGCCACCUCAGCUCUGGUCCUGUGUGAAGACACCAGGGGCUGACAGAGGUUCUUCAGCAGCAGCACCCCAGUCAAUCACUGCUGUGGAAACAGCCAGGAAUUCUGUGUAUGACAUCUGGAGAGCUUCCACAGAGGUAGCUCUAACUAUAUUCAGCCCAGGCCAUGCAUGUAUCUGUAAGGUUUCCACUAUCUUCUGCCCAACGUGCCAUGUGAGUGAAAUUGUUCGGACUCCUGUUUUGAUGAGAAAAGGCCUAACCAGUUGCAAACUAAUGAUAGCCAAAAUUUAACUGUCAGCAUUAAAAUAUAUAUGUACACAUAAAAAAAAUUAACUGCUGGUAAAAGAAUGUAAAAAAUGGAGCGUGUCAGUAAAAUAUUUUGGCAUUUCAUUGGUAUAAAUACCCAGACUCCCUAAGCACUUUCAAUGCAUAAUCCAGAUUUACUGCCUUUUCGUGAUGGCUGAAGUGGUAGAUUCUUUAAAGCUUGCAAUGACUGACCAUAAGCAUGAAUUGUACAAAUCCAGAGUUACAAUUUUAUGGUCUGUGUGAACACUUUUCACCAUGUGCUUUAGAGAUUUACUGAGGUCCUCAAUGUUUGAAAUGUUUUUGUGAAGAAAAUUAAAAUGUCAGUUUAAAAUGUGAAAAUUACCAAUAAAUUCUCA